rnacentral:rRNA from 1 species
UACGUAGGGCGCAAGCGUUGUCCGGAAUUAUUGGGCGUAAAGAGCUCGUAGGCGGUCUGUCGCGUCCGUUGUGAAAACUCGAGGCUCAACCUCGGGCUUGCAGUGGAUACGGGCAGACUAGAGUGCGGUAGGGGAGACUGGAAUUCCUGGUGUAGCGGUGAAAUGCGCAGAUAUCAGGAGGAACACCGGUGGCGAAGGCGGAUCUCUGGGCCGUAACUGACGCUGAGGAGCGAAAGCAUGGGUAGCGAACAGG